GACGAACCGUGCAAACGUUGUUCGGAAUCACUGGGCUUAAAGGGCGCGUAGGCGGGUUUUCAAGUCAGGGGUGAAAGCCCCCAGCUCAACUGGGGAAGUGCCUUUGAUACUGGAGAUCUCGAGGGAGGUAGGGGCGUGCGGAACUUCCGGUGGAGCGGUGAAAUGCGUAGAUAUCGUAAGGAAGACCAGUGGCGAAGGCGAAUCUCUGGACAGUUACUGACACUGAGGCACGAAGGCCAGGGGAGCAAACGGG
rnacentral:rRNA from 1 species